rnacentral:rRNA from 1 species
UAAUACGUAGGGGGCAAGCGUUGUCCGGAAUCAUUGGGCGUAAAGAGCGCGUAGGCGGUCCGGUAAGUCCGCUGUGAAAGUCAAGGGCUCAACCCUUGAAUGCCGGUGGAUACUGCCGGGCUAGAGUCCGGAAGAGGCGAGUGGAAUUCCUGGUGUAGCGGUGAAAUGCGCAGAUAUCAGGAGGAACACCAAUGGCGAAGGCAGCUCGCUGGGACGGUACUGACGCUGAGGCGCGAAAGCGUGGGGAGCAAACAGGAUUAGAUACCCUGGUAGUCCACGCCGUAAACGAUGGACACUAGGUGUGGGAGGUGUCGACUCCUCCCGUGCCGCAGCUAACGCAUUAAGUGUCCCGCCUGGGGAGUACGGCCGCAAGGCUA